rnacentral:rRNA from 1 species
UUCGGUCAGCUGACGAGUGGCGAACGGGUGAGUAACACGUGGAGACCUGUCCUAGGGUACGGGAUAACAGUUAGAAAUGACUGCUAAUACCGUAUACGUCCUAAGGGAGAAAGAUUUAUUGCCCUUGGAGGGGUCCGCGUUGGAUUAGCUAGUAGGUGAGGUAACGGCUCACCUAGGCGACGAUCCAUAGCUGUUCUUAGAGGAAGAUCAGCCACACUGGGACUGAGACACGGCCCAGACUCCUACGGGAGGCAGCAGUGGGGAAUAUUGCGCAAUGGGGGCAACCCUGACGCAGCGAUGCCGCGUGAGUGAAGAAGGCCUUAGGGUUGUAAAGCUCUUUCAGUAGGGAAGAUUGUGACGGUACCUACAGAAGAAGCUCCGGCUAACUCCGUGCCAGCAGCCGCGGUAAUACGGAGGGGGCAAGCGUUGUUCGGAAUUAUUGGGCGUAAAGAGCAUGUAGGCGGUUUGACAAG